UACAGGGGGUGCAACCGUUGCUCGGAAUCAUUGGGCGUAAAGCGCACGUAGGCGGUUCGUUAUGUCGGAUGUGAAAGCCCUUGGCUUAACCGAGGAAGUGCAUCCGAAACUGGCGAGCUAGAGUACGAAAGAGGAUCGCGGAAUUCCCGGUGUAGAGGUGAAAUUCGUAGAUAUCGGGAGGAACACCGGUGGCGAAGGCGGCGAUCUGGGUCGAUACUGACGCUGAGGUGCGAAAGCGUGGGGAGCAAACAGG
rnacentral:rRNA from 1 species